GACGAACGCUGGCGGCGCGCUUAACACAUGCAAGUCGAACGGAAAGGCCUGCUUUCCCUUGUGGAUUGCGGGUACUCGAGUGGCGAACGGGUGAGUAACACGUGAGUGAUCUGCCCCCAACUUGGGUAUAAGCCUGGGAAACUGGGUCUAAUUCCCGAUAGGACUGCAGGGUGGUGCCUGUGGUGGAAAACGAUUUUCUAGUGGUUGGGGAUGAGCUCGCGGCCUAUCAGCUUGUUGGUGGGGUAAUGGCCUACCAAGGCGGCGACGGGUAGCCGGCCUGAGAGGGUGGACGGCCACAUUGGGACUGAGAUACGGCCCAGACUCCUACGGGAGGCAGCAGUGGGGAAUAUUGCACAAUGGGCGGAAGCCUGAUGCAGCGACGCCGCGUGGGGGAUGACGGCCUUCGGGUUGUAAACUCCUUUCGACCGCGAGGAAGCCACCUGGUUGGAAGGGUGGUGACGGUGGUGGUAGAAGAAGCACCGGCUAACUACGUG
rnacentral:rRNA from 1 species